rnacentral:rRNA from 1 species
UACGUAGGGUGCUAGCGUUGUCCGGAUUUAUUGGGCGUAAAGAGCUCGUAGGUGGCCUGUCGCGUCGGCUGUGAAAACUCGGGGCUCAACUCCGAGCUUGCAGUCGAUACGGGCAGGCUAGAGUUCGGCAGGGGAGACUGGAAUUCCUGGUGUAGCGGUGAAAUGCGCAGAUAUCAGGAGGAACACCGGUGGCGAAGGCGGGUCUCUGGGCAGUAACUGACGCUGAGGAGCGAAAGCGUGGGGAGCGAACAGG